UACGUAGGGUGCAAGCGUUGUCCGGAAUUAUUGGGCGUAAAGAGCUCGUAGGCGGUCUGUCGCGUCGAAUGUGAAAACCCGGGGCUCAACCCCGGGCCUGCAUUCGAUACGGGCAGACUAGAGUUCGGUAGGGGAGACUGGAAUUCUGGUGUAGCGGUGAAAUGACGCAGAUAUCAGGAGGAACACCGGUGGCGAAGGCGGGUCUCUGGGCCGAUACUGACGCUGGAGGAGCGAAAGCGUGGGGAGCGAACAGG
rnacentral:rRNA from 1 species